AUUGAACGCUGGCGGCAGGCCUAACACAUGCAAGUCGAGCGGCUCGGCAGACGGGUAAGGAAUGCUUAUGAAUCUGCAUGGUCGUGGGGGAGAGGGAUCGGAAACGGGCGCUGAUGCCGCAUACUCUCGGAUGAGCCUAGGUCGGAUUAGCUAGUUGGUGGGGUAAAGGCAUACCAAGGCGACGAUCCGUAACUGGUCUGAGAGGAUGAUCAGUCACACUGGAACUGAGACACGGUCCAGACUCCUACGGGAGGCAGCAGUGGGGAAUAUUGGACAAUGGGCGAAAGCCUGAUCCAGCCAUGCCGCGUGUGUGAAGAAGGCCUUCGGGUUGUAAAGCACUUUAAGUUGGGAGGCGUUACCAACAGAAUAAGCACCGGCUAACUUCGUGCCAGCAGCCGCGGUAAUAC
rnacentral:rRNA from 1 species